rnacentral:rRNA from 1 species
UACGGAGGGAGCUAGCGUUGUUCGGAAUUACUGGGCGUAAAGCGCGCGUAGGCGGCUUUGUAAGUUAGAGGUGAAAGCCCGGAGCUCAACUCCGGAACUGCCUUUAAAACUGCAUCGCUUGAAUCCAGGAGAGGUGAGUGGAAUUCCGAGUGUAGAGGUGAAAUUCGUAGAUAUUCGGAAGAACACCAGUGGCGAAGGCGGCUCAACUGGACUGGUAU